rnacentral:rRNA from 1 species
GACGAACGCUGGCGGCGUGCUUAACACAUGCAAGUCGAACGGAAAGGCCCUGCUUUUGUGGGGUGCUCGAGUGGCGAACGGGUGAGUAACACGCGUGUAACCUGCCCUUGACUUUGGGAUAACUUCAGGAAACUGGGGCUAAUACCGGAUAGGAGCUCCUGCUGCAUGGUGGGGGUUGGAAAGUUUCGGCGGUUGGGGAUGGACUCGCGGCUUAUCAGCUUGUUGGUGGGGUAGUGGCUUACAAAGUGUUUGACGGGUAGCCGGCCUGGGAGGUGGAACAGCCACAAGGGGACUAAGAUACGGCGCAGACGCCUACCGGAGGCAGCAGGGGAGAGUAUUACACAGUGAGCGGAAGCCUGAUGCAGCAACGCCGCGUGCGGGAAGACGGGCUUCGGGGUGUAAACCGCUGUCGCCUGAGACGAAGCGUGAGUGACGGUAACGGGUAAGGAAGCACCGGCUAACUACGUG